ACCACUGCGCCCGGUCUUCUCCUCUUAAUUUUUAUUUGCCUUUUAUUACUUUCUUUUAUAGUUGCCUAGUUAUUAAAAUAUGCAUCUUUGACAUAUUGCAAUCUUUCUCGCAUCAGUAGUUUUAUCUCUUGAAUAAUACGAACAACUAUAUCUUCAGAUACAUAUACCAUUCCUCCCACCAUUUUUGUUAUUAUCCUAUAUUUUACACCUAUAAAUGUUAUCAACUUCAUAGAACAUUAUAGUUUGAUUUCAACAAUGACAACUGUUAAAAAUUACCUACAUGGUUAUGAUUCGCUCAUGAAAUUCAGGACUUCUAUCAAAAAUUAUUUCUUUUUAGACUGAAGAACUUACUUUUGUUUAUACUGCAAGGCUACUGGAGUUCAACUGUGUUAGUUUUUUUUUAACAUGAAAUAUUAUUUUAAUUUUUGAAAAAUUCUUUAUCUGGGUAUGGAAAUCUGGAUGAUAGGUUAAAGAUAUCACUCUAUUGUCUUCUGAUUUACAGUUUCUUUUGUUAUAUCAUCUUCAUCAUUAUUGUCACUUCGUUGAAAGUAACCAGUUGUAUAUUUCACAUAACUGAUUAUUUUUAAUAUUUUCUUACUAUCAUUUGACAAUAAGUUCUUACUAUUGAGUGGAAUGGGGGGCAGAGAAUGGGGGUGAGGAAUGCAAGUGGAGAUUGAGUUGGAGCUGCUGGUGGUCUCUGUCUCUCCUGUAGAAGAGGUGUAGAUUCUUUCAUGGAAUAGGAGGGUCUGUGUGACCUCAUACUUCAUGCCAUCUCCUACACCUGGAAUUCCAAGACUGCCUGCAAUUAAGCUAAUGGUCUGGGACAAACCUCUAAUAAACGUGAGCAGCUAAUUCAAUCUUUUUUUUCUAGUGGUUAUAAAUGACUCUAGAUCCAAAUAUACAAAAUAAAGUCCAAGUUGAUUCUAACUUCUUAGAGACCCUCAAAUCAACAGUUCCCUGAGAACUAGAAUCUCUCAGGUUGUUGAAGUAGGUGGAACUGAGAGGUACUUGGAGUUCUCAUAUGAGAUGUACCCUGGGACAUAAGAGCCUUGCUGUGAGACUGACAGGUACAAGUCUUCUCAAGGAGACAGCAAGAAGAUGGGGACUGGAGGAGGCAUCAAAGCCCAGCUUCAAGAGGACCCUCUGCUAUUCAUGCUAUGGAGAGUAACCAGCCAGAAACUGUGGAGACCAGAAACAGCCUAACUGUUCAGGUGCCAUUUCCUGGAGCUGAGGCAACCGCAGAGAGAACCACACUGUUGAGCAUGGCCUGUGAGUCACUGUCGUCGCAGGACCUCCAAGCCCUGGGAGAGGCAAAACCUGUUGGCUGCGGAAUGGACAUGUCACUAAGCAGCAGAGUCCUCGGUUUUCAGCUUAGGUCAGGGCAGCAGGAAAAGGCCGGAAGGAUCUGGUUAAGUUCAUUUAGACCAGAACAUCCUGGAGCUGCCCCAUGCUGGAAGCACAUCCCCCGCUCUCAGGGCAGGGUAAAUGUUAGGAGCUGGUUGCAGAUCACCUGGGUCCUGGGUGGGCUUUGAGUAAUGUGGGUGGAGAUUUGAUCUUGGCACCAGUUCCUCCCUGUCCCUCCCCUACUUCCACAUCUUUACUCUGUCUCUGAGGGGGCAGCAGCAGGGCUCCUGACCUUGGGUACUAACUUUGCUGGGGUGAGAAAUCUCUUUGGGAGUCAUCUUUCUUCUAAUCUAUAGCCUUCCCUUGUUCUACACCAGCUGGCAUAGCUCUUUCAUUCCUAGGGAGUCCAGACCCUCCCCUACAACCACAGCUCUGUGUUCACUGCAGAUGCUGAGACUCUCCAAGAUGGGAAGAGCUUUGGAGGCCAGGAUAAACUCCGUCUUCCUCAGGACACAGGGAGUCAACUGGGGAUGUUACCAAGAGGAUUUCCCAGCCUUACUGACUCACUGCCCCAAAUGCCCUCAGGCUCAGAUUUCUUUACCAUCCUGAUCCACUGCUUGUCCUGCCACUUCUCACAUCCUGGGCCUCCAAUCCCCUCUCCCAGGACUCAGACAAUAAAUAUCUUCUUUGCUCUGAGAUUCUGUCUAUGAAUCUGGCUCCAGAAGGAAGAGAAGCUAGGGACCUCUAGUGUUGCACAGGAAUUACCCUUAACCCAGAAUCAGUUCCUUCCUCUCCCACAGGCAGCCUACUUGCCAAGAGGAUCAGACAUCAGGUCUGAUGAGCAGCAUCCUCAUUGCACAUGAAUAUCUUCAAUUUCUUAGAUGGUGAUGGGAACAAUUUUUGUCUUUCAGUGUUCCACUCUUUACCAGCACCUGACAUCUUCAGACAUCUAAAAGUUUUCCAAUUUGGAAAGUGUGUAAUAGUAUUUUACUAGUGUUUUGAACUUAAGUUUACCCACUUACUAAUGAGACUGAGUACUUCUUCAUCCAUUUUGUCGGGGCUGGAUAUUACUUUUAUGAGGGAUUGCUUUAAAUCUUCGGUUUCUUUCAUGCCUCUACCAAAUUUAGGAUGUUUUGGACAUUUUAUUCAAAUAUUUUUGUCUGUUCCAUUCUGUCUUUCCUUUUCCUGCAGGACUCCAAUUACAAAUAGUUAGACGUAUUUGUAUUGUCUCACAUGUCCCUGAGUCUCUGUUUCCUAUUAGUUUUAAUUUUUUUUCUCUUUUUUUUCAGGUUGAAUAAUUUUCAUUGAUCUAUCUUCACAUUCACUAGAUCUUUCUUCAGUUAUCCAUUUCCUUUAAAAUUUGAGAUACUGUAUUGCAGUUUUCAGUUUCAAAAUUUUCAUUUGCUCUUUUAAAACAAAUAUGUUCUAUAUCACCACUUAGAUUUCCUCUGUCUUUAUUCGUUAUGACUAUGUUUUCCUUUAUCUCCUUGAGCAUAGUUAUAGUAGCUGCUUUAAAGUCCUGGUCUGUUGUUUCUAUCGCUUGGUCAUCUCAGCAUUGGCCUCUGUGUAUUGCCUUUCACUUUUCCCCUUUUCUGUGUGUUGUUACAUUCAGGUAGGUCCUAUGUUCCCGUGUUUUCAUAUGUAGAGUAGCUUUGGAUUGGAUCCUAAAUGUUCUUAAGGUUACAUUGUGGAGACUCUGCAACAAGUUACAUUACUUUAAAGAGUAUUUUUUAAAGCAGGCAAAUAAUUUGGUUCAAGUCAAAUUGCAGACUAUUUCUUGCCUGUGAUGGGUGACAGCUCAAGUCUCAUAGCAAUUCUGUCAUCUUUACCUGCAGUGCUUGUGGUAUGCCCUACACAUACAUGGUUCUUAGGUCAGUCAGAGACAUGGGAGCAUUUAUUCUCAGAAGCGGGAGUUCCUUUCCCCUAGCUCUCUCCAUUCCAGAAUUCUCACCUCAUGUUUCAGUGUUCCUAAUUGCCCUGGCUUCAUCCCUUGUUUCUCAGUCCAGAAAGAUGGAAGUUCUAUUAGAAUUUUAGCAGCCCAUUUCUGCAUUGUAGCUCUGGCCUAACACUGGAAUACAGCUAUUUAUUCCUUGUUGGUCCCCUUCCCCAAAUUUUGACUCCCAUCCAGCAUCUAUUUUCUUUUAUCCCACUUUCCAAGUAGUUUUUUUCCCCAUUCAAAGCUUAUAACUUGUAAGGAUUGUUUUUUGUUCGUUUUGUUUUGUUGUGGUGGGUUCACUCUGCUAGGAGCUCACUCCUUCAUAAUAAAAACACUACUCCUUCUCUUUCGUUUUGAAGGAUAAUUUUCCAAAAUGUAGAAUUCUAGCUUUGCAUUUUUCUUUUAACCUUUUGGAGAUGUCAUUCCACUUUGGAGGGCGGUGAGUUUCUCAUGACAGUUCAGUCAUCAGUUUCUUAUUGUGGUUCCAUCUAAGAGAAUAUCUGCUUAUGUGUUGCUGCUUUUAUAAUUUCUUCAUUCUUUUUCAUGAAUAUAAAUUUUAUACACCUCAGGUAUUUUUCUUUUAAGUUCUCUAAGUGCACGUAGCAAAGAGAGUGCAAUAUUUACUUCUUUUCUUUAUGCUUUCACUCUUGAUAUACUCUAUUUAUGCUACAAUAGAAAUGUGUGUCUUCCCAAAAUUUGUAUGUUGAAAUCUUAAACCUCAAGAUGAUGGUAUUAAGGGAGGUUGGGGCCUUUUGGGAAGUGAUUGACCCAUAAAGGUGCCAUCCUCAUGAAUGGGACUAGUGUCCUCAUAAAAGAAAUAGAAGGAAGUGUGUUUUCCUCUUCUGCCAUGGGAGGAUACCACAAAAAGAUACUAUAUGGGAAGCAGAGAAUUCUCUCCAGACACUGAAUCCACUGGCACCUUGAUCUUGGACUUCCCAGCCUCCGGAACUAUGAAAAAUAAAUUUCUGUUGUU